AGCAGUCGUAAUAGUUCCAGCUCCAAUAGCGUANAUUAAAGUUGUUGCAAUUAAAAAGCUCGUAGUUGAAUUUCGGGAUCAAUGGGUUGGUCAUGCCCUCGGUAUGUACUGAUUUCAUUGGUUCUCACCUUCUAAGGAACCAUGAUGUCAUUCGUUUGAUGUUGUGGGGAAUUAGGACUGUUACCUUGAAAAAAUUAGAGUGUUUAAAGCAGGCUAAUGCUUGAAUACAUUAGCAUGGAAUAAUGAAAUAGGACAUCCGAUUCUAUUUUGUUGGUUUUUAGGAUCGAUGUAAUGAUUAAUAGGGAUAGUUGGAGGCAUUAGUAUUCAAUUGUCAGAGAUGAAAUUCUUGGAUUUAUUGAAGACUAACUACUGCGAAAGCAUUUGCCAAGAAUGUUUUCAUUAAUCAAGAACGAAAGUUAGGGGAUCGAAGACGAUCAGAUACUGUCGUAAUCUUAACCAUAAAUUAUGCCAACUAGGGAUCGGAUGAUGCUUAUUUUUUAAUGACUCA
rnacentral:rRNA from 1 species